AUAACAUAGUGGUCAGAAUUAUGACCAGCUGGCCUUAUGGUUGUCAUAAAAAUAUGUCAUAUUCCUGUCAGUAAAAAUAAGUUUAAAAAAAAUGUCUUUAGUCAACCAGCUUGUGACUAGAUCCAAAAUUUCCCCCCCAAAAGUUAUUCCAAGAACCCCAUAGGAGAUGGGGUUCAUCGAGGAGGGGUUCCUCGAUGCCCAACAGAAAAAUGUGGAUUUGAAUUUGAGUAGACAGCAGGUGCAGGCACUUAACUGAAAAACUGAAAGCUCUCCUCAUGUUUUAUGACGAUACCAUCUAUCUUUUCAUAUUCGUGCAAAUGGCUGUGUUGUUUGACACUCGUAUUUAAAAUGAUUUCUAAACAAGGAAAUGUAUAAUUCAAUGGCUGUCAACAGAGAGGUAUACAGACAAGGAGGCACACACAGGACCCAGAGACCCUACAUUAUAAACAAGACUUCACCCUCCUUAUACCUCUGACUAUAACAGGAAACCUAUGUGAUCACCAUGCACUGCAAAAUCAUUCUGGCUAUGGAUAGCCUACAGAGGACAUCAACAUGCCAGAUGAUAAAUCCAUUGGACUUGGGGCUUUGUUGGGAGUUUACCUCAUAUUUAGAUUUUUGAAUUCUGCUUUGCCACUAAAAUCAUAAUAAACAUUUAAAACUUAAAGAUUGUGUUAUUGCACCAAAUGGAACCUUUAAACUGCCUGCACUCAAAGCUCAUCUAUACACUGAGUGUACCAAACAUU